CUCGACUAUGAUUGGUCAGAAAGCAUAGUAGUCCUGGCUGUAAUUCAUAUCAGAAAAAAAAAAAAGUUUCUGGAUGGGAGUCUCCAGUGUCAGCACUUUGUGUCAGUCAGUAAAUUUUCAGAAAUAGGAAAUGUCUUCACGGUGGAGGUUUCUUGGUAACUUGACAAUCUGUCUUAACUUCAAGAGGGGAAAAAAGGAGAUGCUGGUAUUUCCCUUUUAUCCCCAGAGUUCCCUGGAUAGGCUCUGGAUUUACUCCGACCCUGAUCAAGAUAAAACACUUAGCAACACAUACAGCUGUAUAAUCUCAAUAGUUUCCACCUAAACUACAAUAAACAGCCAAAAGUAUGCGGACACCUGACCAUCACACAUAAAUAUGGUUCUUCCCCAGACUGUUGCCACAAAGUUGGAAGCACACAAUCGUAUAAAAAGUUUUUGAAUGCUGUAGCAUUACAAUUUCCCUUCCCUGGAACUAAGAGGCCCAAACCUGUUCCAGCAUGACAAUGUGCACAAAGCAAGCUCUGUGAAGACUGGGUUUGCCAAGUUUGCCCUGACCUCAACCCUACUGAACACCUUUGGGAUGAAUUGGAAUGCAGACUGCUCACCAGACAUCACCUCCACACCCAACAUCAGUGCCUGACCUCACUAAUGCUAUUAUGGCUGAAUGAACACAAAGACACCGGAGAUGCCUUACAUAAAUGCUAAUAAAUAAAUAAAUAAAUAAAUAAAUACACACAGCAUCAACAACCUUAAUUUGUUUGAUUUAUUUUUAGUUUCUUUGCUAAUAGGUGUUACAAAUGUGUAUCAGUUUUAGGGUAGCAGUAGAAGGGCUAUUGAGAACAAUGGACCUGUAGUACAUUUUACUUUUGCAGUGACAAAUAUAAUGUAAUGUUUCCGUUCACUUUUAAAGUUUUCAUUUGACUCACCCUUGUAUGUUCUUUUUUUUUUUGUUAAAUAACAGCAAAUUGUCCUUUUAACUGUAGAUGUCCCUGUGAAUUUGCUAUUAGUGUAGUAAACAUGACAUCAAAUGAGCACAUUAAUACAAUAUGAUUUGUCUUGCAGAUUGCCAGCUGCCGACUGAGCUGCUGUUAUAUAAGUAAUAACACACGACAGAUCUUGCAGUUAGGCAAAGAUUACAAUGUGUAAUUUCUUAAUGCACAAUAUGUCAUGCAUUUUAAUGGUAUAUAGUUAUAUUUAAGGUUGUAGAACAUCCGAGAGACAACUGCGAUAAACAGUCAUUCCCUCACCAGUCUGUCUGUCUGUCUGUCUCUGUGUGUGUGUGGGUGGAUAUGUGUCACACAAUUGAUCAUACCUCAACAGCGAUUUAGUUGCAGUUUAUGCUCAUUUGACAAAUCUUAAAUAAAUCAUAGUAGAUGCAUAUAUAUAUAUAUAUAUAUAUAUAUAUAUAUAUAUAUAUAUA
ensembl:lncRNA